UUCGGGUUCUCGCCGAUUAAUAGGGAAUCCUGUGUAAAUCAGGGGCUAUGCCCGUAGCUGUGAGUUCCAAAAAAGGCUUCCAACACACGUGUCACUGAUAGUUUUAUCGGGAAGACGUUGGAAGUGGGACGAGCCAGAAGACCUGCCCGUUU
rnacentral:ncRNA from 1 species